rnacentral:rRNA from 1 species
ACGCUCGACACCUACGGGAGGUAGCAGUGGGGAAUAUUGCACAAUGGGGGAAACCCUGAUGCAGCGACGCCGCGUGAAGGAAGAAGUAUCUCGGUAUGUAAACUUCUAUCAGCAGGGAAGAAAGUGACGGUACCUGACUAAGAAGCCCCGGCUAACUACGUGCCAGCAGCCGCGGUAAUCUGAGCGGGCUGGCAAGGC